ACACAUCCAACCGUGGCUCAAUGCUGAGUGUAGCUGGUCUCCAUGCUAAGGACUGUGCAUCGUGGAUCACACCAGAACCUGGUCAGAAGCCUGUAGUGCGCUCAGGAUAGACCAUCAGCAUCACCAGGUCACCAUGUCCCCUGGUGACCAGCUCUCCAGUUUGCUGAGAAGCCCCACAGACAGAGCAAAGCCUGGAACCCAGAAGGGGGUGUCCACCUGAGAGGCCUAGAGAGAGAUUUGUGUUUGUACCCACAGUCCUGAGCCCUCCUCAGCCUUGGUUAGAAAAGUUUACUUCUGCAGUGGGCAGCAAUCGAUACAGACUCAUAACUGAUCAAAGUGCUCAGGAUAAUUGACAGCGGAUUGUUCCAUCCUAAGUCGGACAUCUAUAUCAACCUUCCAAGGCUCAGAGAACAUCUCCAAAGAGAACAUAGAAAAACCGUGAAAGCAGAGAGGUAAGCAGAAGCA